ensembl:lncRNA
AACAGAACUACUAUUUGCUUUGAGGACUGUGCCUAGAGUCAUUGCUUUGAGGGAAAAAAUGAAUAACUCUGGAAAAGAAUGACUUACUUUCGCAAAGAACCCUGAUCUGUGAGUCUUACCUUUGGAGACUGCAAGGGCUUCCUUCUGCACUUACGUCCCAGUAUCAGCAUUAUUCAAAGGCACUACCAAGGGCUCCUAGGAACUGGUCCAGAGAAGAAGCACUAUUUGGAGAGACACACAGGACAGGUCCACAUCCUUAUGUAUCUAAGACCAGACAUGCAGAUAGCAAAGAAUAUUUGGAAGGAAGAGGUCACAGAGAGAAAAUUACAGAUUGACUUAAUAUUGGGCAGUCUCAUUACUUCAAUGUCUGAAAGGGGAAGUCCCCAUUAAUUAUCAGUUAAUUGAAUUAAGUUUAUUUUAUGCUCAAAAUUAUUGUUGUUUUUAAUAACCACUUUGGAAACUAAAGGAUACAGAAAAAAAUAUGUAGUCUUUAAUAUUCAACUCAACUCUGUGGAUUUUCAGAAAAAAACAAGUUUGGGUUGGAAUUCCUGCUUCUCCAUUUCCUUACCAUAUGAUUUUGGACAAAGUAUUUGAAAAGUGGCUGAUAAGACACUUAUUGGUCUUAUUAGUAAGACUAAGACUAAGACAUUACUUAUCGUACUGUUAUGAAGAUGAAGACUUUCUGGUCCAGGUAUGUGCUACUGAACAGGUAAUGCAUGAAACGAGUGGGAGCUGUAACUAUUAUUUCUGGGACUUGGGAGAGCUGAUGGAUAAUUAUCUCAUAGGCAGACCACAGGGUUCACAAGACCGUUAACAAAAGCACAUUCUACUAAUUGAGUGAGUCCCCAUGAAACCAGCUCCACCAUACAGCAGAGAGUGGAGUGGUUGAGAACACAGCUUCAGGGCAAAGGCCAGGACUCAAAUGCUGGCCACCUCACCAGCAAUAGGAACUGAAUUGGGUCAAUGCCUUAACCUUUCUGUGCCUGUUUCCUUAUCUUUAAAAGAGGGGUAAUAGUACUAUCUACUUCAUAGAGCUAGAAUGAAGAUCAAAUGAGAUAAUCCAUGUAAAACGUGUUUGAAACAAAUGCCUGGCACAUAAUAAACACUGAAUAAAAGUCAAUUAUCUCUUAUUAGAUAGUCUAACUUUUAGCCAGGAUCAUCUCGCUAAAAGAAUGGAGCUGGUUUUUCAGUUUCAUUUUAUUUUGUUUUACGUAAAGCCUAUGUAGUCUACUUCAUCUUUUUUCCUUUUUUUUUUUUUUAACUUAUGGGAUCAGGGGUAAGUUAUGAGUUCAAUGGAUUAUACUGGAGACACUAUCUGUGUCUUAUGAUCAGUUACAGAAAUUCUGGUGAUAUAGUAAGAAAAACCUUGUACUGAUCACACUUGUAAAUUGAAGGCUGGAUUACUCAUUACCUGAUGUGAUAUUUAGUUUCUUGAUCUCUAAAAAAAGGGUAAUAACAUCCACUUUAAGAGCUUUUGGAAAAUGAUGAGAGUACCACAUGAAGAUUCUGGCACAGACUUGGUACACAUGUCUGCCUAAUUGAUUUUAUUGGGAGGACUCAGACAACAGGGGGGCAGUGGAAUUCUAGGAAGGAAAUGGCCAGGUUGAACUGCCAACGAGUGGUAAGAAUACCUCCUGUCUUCAUUCUAUGCAUGGCAGGUGGUCUGGCAAGGAGAGAGAGGUUGUGUGCUAGGAACUCCUUUAUGCAUAAAAUAACUAGGCCUUGCCAGUGCAAUUGCCCUGUGAUCCAUGUUAAAUAUGGUAUCUACUGCUGCAGAUUAAAAAUAACAGACUAUUCUCAGCUUCCCUCCCAUAAGGAGAUCUCCUACUAUGGUGAAGGAAGAUUUGAUUCAACAAAGAAAUCUUUUAUUUUUCUGGCCUCCAUUUUUCCCACUUUCUAUUCUGGUUCUGCUACCAUUUAUGUAUCCAUCACAGGAAAACAGUGAGGUAGAUAUAUCGCCCAUUCUAUUUUAUAGAAAAGGGAACCAAAACCUAGACAGAUUGAAAAAGGCACCCCCAAGCUCAAAGCUAAUGAGCCUGAAAGCUGAGAUUUGAAUCUAUACCUUCAGGUGCUAUGUGUUUGGCUCUUUCCACUAAGCCCUGCAGCUUCCGGUACUCCGGCCCAGCCUGCGAAUCUGUUUGGUGAAACUGGUCCGAGAAGCCAGCCCUGGGACCAUGCCAGAAAAGGUGGGGCCAUGGACUGGAGUUUUCUCCCAAUGUGACUUUUUGCUCAUUCCCCAAACUAUUUCAAAGGGAGAUGAAAUAGCAAUAUGGGGAGAGGGGGAACCUCUCUGUGUCUAAAUUCUAUAAAUCAGGGCUUUAUUUUGAAGCAUCAUGAUUUUUCAAAAAAAGAAAAAAUAAUUAAAAAGCCAUUCCAGAGGAACUUAACAGGCUUUGUUGGUGUUUUUCUCGGAAGCUUAUAAUGAGCUCAUAAAUUCUAAUGGGGAAUGCUCUGUGGCUCCCAGCAGUGCUGAGUCAAACCAGCCACGUUAGAGGACGGAAUUCCACCACCGGGGUUUGGAAUGUGCAUGCCACCCCACCACCCUGGGCUGGCCUGUUUGCAGCAGGAGGAGGAGCAGUACCUUCUGCUUUGUCAGCUCCCACAUUUGCCCACUUGCACCCUCUCCACAGCAGUCUCUCUGACCUAGAUUAUUACUCCUGGAAUGAUGGCUCCAGAGGCCCCUUGGAAAAGUUAGCCUAGGAGUUUGGAAAUCUCCAUAGGCUUGGUCAUGGGCUGAAUGCCCGUGACUGUGCCCAGAACUAAGUGAGGAGCUGCGAGAAGGGCCUUCCUGUGUGUGCUGCCUUUGGUCUCAUCACUGAGGAGCCUUAACCACAUGGCCCUAAAGUCUUUCUAUCAACUACCAUCCCACUGGGAACAGAGGGUGUUUAGGCUGGAACACAAUGCAGAAUUUAAGGAAGGGAUUAUCUACAAGGUAGAACAGGGUAAGGAGAAUCAACCAGGGAUGGCAAAGCCUCUUGCUCUGAUGUUAUCCAGCACCAGGAGCCACCACCACUUAUGGGCACACAGGGACAAGAGUAGCUGCAAGUACCCUGACUAUAAGAGGGGGCUGGUCUCCACAGACUGGCAUGGAGGAAAUCUAGGGAAGAUACCCCCUGGGCCCCUCCUCCUCCCUCAGCAGGAAACAGCAAUCCAGGGAACACAUCAGUGCAGCCCAGAGGCAGCCAUGGGGGCAGAGAGCCGGGUAAAGAAUACUGGAGAUCCAGACAAGAGGGGAUGAAGGAAAUACCCAGAUCAGCAACUCUCCUGCCUUACCUCCUAAGGCUUGUUGAAGGGACCUGAGGAUUCAGGACAACGUGUCACAUUAUUCCUGCAAUCAGCAUUCCCUCUGCCUGGUGCUUUCUCAGGCACCUAUCUAUACCCCAUCAACACAUUAGUCACUUUUCUGACUUGACUUUCAAUGCCAGGCUCUCCUCUGAGUAGCACCACCUCCUAGUCAGCCUUGUGUUGCAGGCAUGUUGAUGCUUAUCUAAGGCUGCCAUUCAUCUCUGUAAGCAACUUGAGGAGAAGGACCAUUCCCAGGAUUUCCUGUGCUUUGCACAGGACAGAUCCUUCUCCAGUGUGCAUGAGAAGAAAGGUGAGUCAGGUGUGCCAGGCUGGAGGAGUAAGGUCAUGUCCUGCCCUUGAGGGCUUUAGACUGUCUAUCCGUGUAGUUAGUUAAUUGCAGGUAGAUGAUUCAAACCAGGAGAAAGAUGGUCCCACAACAAAUUUAUGGCCCUGUGUUUAAUGAGAAAUACCUUUCCUCCUCUGCUUGGUGGCUUGAGGGAUGGAAAAUAUAUGGAAUUCGGAACAGAGAAGCUGAUCCAAGUCCCUGGGGAUCUGGAAGGACACACUUUGUACAUUGACCAACAUAUUUUUUUCACUUUGUAGGGUAUGUAAAAAUACCAAGGUAUUCAUCAUAGAACACUGUUUAGAAAUCAUUAACCAUCUUGGUGUACCACCUCCCUCUCUCUAAAGCCACCGCAGCAGUUAUUCAAAGAGGGAAAAGGCCAAGGAAGAAGAAUAUAUGUAAACAGUACCAUGAGCAGUACUGCCCCCCACCCCUGAAGGCUCUGCUAAAAAUACCUUGUUCAAAUCUAAGCCAUAUAUGCGCAUUGAGGUAUAUGGAAUGACUGGCCAAUGGGAACCUGUUAUACAGCACAGGGAACUCUGCCCGAUGUUCUGUGACAAUGUAUGUGAGAAAAAAAUAUGCAAAUAGAAUGGAUAUGUGUACACAUACAGCUGAAUCACUUUGUUGUGCAGCAGAAAUGAUCACAACGUUGUAAAUCAACUAAACAUCAAUAGAACUUUUAAAAAAUGUAAGCCUUCCAAACCUGUGAGGUGACAUUCUCAAUUUGUAGUUGAAGAGGUUGAGACUCAAGAGAAGUUCUUUCCCAAGGUCACUGGUCAUCCAGCUAAGCCAAAAUGAAUGAGGAAUCUGACAUCUGCAAGUACACACUUUAGACAGUGGCCUGGCUCUUCUGUGAGUCAGGGUCUCCAUUCUUCAAAACCACUGUGUGGAUAUUCUACAUUUCCCAAUGGUCCCUAACUUAAGACCCUGGACUUAAGACAUGAAGAGACCUCUCUGGUUCUACGGACUGGACCUUACACACAGGGCGUGAGGGUUGUUGGUGAACAGCUAGCCCUGCUGAGGCCCUGUGCCACCUCAGCCCCAGGAGGAACACACUGGGGCAAUAUAGGGCUUUGGUGCUCUUUGUUUUCAUGGCAUUAGGGUCCCUUUACCAGAGGCAUAAAGAGGCUGAGGCAUCCCUAGUUUCUGGAAACUAGCUUUCCAGAAAAUUCUCCAACUUAUUUUAGAAGCAGAGGGCUAGGCUGUGCUCUCUGAGGAGGACUUGGAAGGCUCUCCUGUACAGCCUCCUUCUGGCAAAGCCUCUCUCCCAUAAUAGAGUCUGCUGAAGUGAGUCUGGGCAGGUAAAUAAGAAAAUAUCAAAAAAAAAAAA